GAUGAACGCUAGCUACAGGCUUAACACAUGCAAGUCGAGGGGCAGCGGGAUUGAAGCUUGCUUCAAUUGCCGGCGACCGGCGCACGGGUGAGUAACGCGUAUCCAACCUUCCGUACACUCAGGGAUAGCCUUUCGAAAGAAAGAUUAAUACCUGAUGGUAUGAUGAGAUUGCAUGAUAGCAUCAUUAAAGAUUUAUCGGUGUACGAUGGGGAUGCGUUCCAUUAGGUAGUAGGCGGGGUAACGGCCCACCAAGGCGACGAUCAGUAGGGGUUCUGAGAGGAAGGUCCCCCACAUUGGAACUGAGACACGGUCCAAACUCCUACGGGAGGCAGCAGUGAGGAAUAUUGGUCAAUGGACGAGAGUCUGAACCAGCCAAGUAGCGUGAAGGAUGACUGCCCUAUGGGUUGUAAACUUCUUUUAUACGGGAAUAAAGUGAGGCACGUGUGCCUUUUUGUAUGUACCGUAUGAAUAAGGAUCGGCUAACUCCGUGCCAG
rnacentral:rRNA from 1 species